UUGGCACCGUUGGAACUAAACCCCUCAAGUCACGAAAUGGGUACAGCGCAGGGCAGGAGCAGUGGAAGCUUCCUAGACUACCUUGCAAAUAUGCCUCAACCUUGCUCUGCGGGUGCACACUUUGCAUAGUUUGUUCUUCAUGCUGACUCAUUCCUUAAAAUCU
rnacentral:sRNA from 1 species